GAACGCAUACUUUAGGGUAUGAGUGGCAGACGGGUGAGUAACGCGUGAGACAUCUACCUUACAGCCCGGUAUAAAUAUCUAUAUAGAGGCGAAAAUCUUUAUAUAUGAGUGAAUCCCGGAUAUUUUGAAUAAAAAAAAAGGCAAAGAACCGUUGUAAGAUGAGCUCGCGUAGGAUUAGGUAGUUGGUAAGGUAAAAGCUUAUCCAAGCCGAUGAUCCUUAGCUGUUCUGAGAGGAUGAUCAGCCACACUGGGACUGAGACACGGCCCAGACGCUUUCGAGCGGCAGCAGUGAGGAAUUUUGGACAAUGGGCGAAAGCCUGAUCCAGCUAUAUCGCAUGAAUGAAGAAGGCUCAAUUGGUUGUAAAAUUCAUAGUUUCAUUGUAGAUUAUGACAUUGAUGAAAUGAAUAGUCCCGGCCAACUCCGUGC
rnacentral:rRNA from 1 species